AACCAUUCUCACCUGCGGCUAGACCUGCGGAGGGAUCAUUAAUGAAUCGCGAGUCGGCCGACCGUGCUGGCGGAGACGCAUGUGCACGUUGGUCCCGACACAUCCACACACCCGUGAACCUAUGGCCUUUGGGUUUUCGAACCCGGGGCAAACCUUUUUUCGCCCACUCCAUUUGUAAAGGAAUGUCUGACGUGCGAAUGUGCGAAAGCAAACAACUUUCAACAAUGGAUCUCAGAUCGG
rnacentral:misc_RNA from 1 species